GAUGAACGCUGGCGGCGUGCCUAAUACAUGCAAGUCGAGCGAACAGAUAAGGAGCUUGCUCCUUUGACGUUAGCGGCGGGCGGGUGAGUAACACGUGGGUAACCUACCUAUAAGACUGGGAUAACUUCGGGAAACCGGAGCUAAUACCGGAUAAUAUUUCGAACCGCAUGGUUCGAUAGUGAAAGAUGGUUUUGCUAUCACUUAUAGAUGGACCCGCGCCGUAUUAGCUAGUUGGUAAGGUAACGGCUUACCAAGGCGACGAUACGUAGCCGACCUGAGAGGGGGCGCGCCCACCGUGGAACAGACCCGCGCCCCAGCCUCCGGGGGGGGGCACCAGGGGGGACUCCCCCGAAAGGGGCGAAGGCCGGAGGGACCACCCCCGCGGGGGUGAUGAGGGUUUUAGAAUCGAAAAAUUUUUUUAUGGGGAAAAAACAUACUUGAAAGAAAGGGGCCGCGUCUGCACGGCCCCAAACAAAAACCCCACGCCUACCUCGUGC
rnacentral:rRNA from 1 species